rnacentral:rRNA from 1 species
GAUGAACGCUGGCGGCGUGCCUAAUACAUGCAAGUCGAGCGAACGGACGAGGAGCUUUCUUCUCUGAUGUUAGCGGCGGACGGGUGAGUAACACGUGGAUAACCUACCUAUAAGACUGGGAUAACUUCGGGAAACCGGAGCUAAUACCGGAUGAUAUUUUGAACCGCAUGGUUCAAAAGUGAAAGACGGUCUUGCUGUCACUUAUAGAUGGAUCCGCGCCGCAUUAGCUAGUUGGUAAGGUAACGGCUUACCAAGGCAACGAUGCAUAGCCGACCUGAGAGGGUGAUCGGCCACACUGGAACUGAGACACGGUCCAGACUCCUACGGGAGGCAGCAGUAGGGAAUCUUCCGCAAUGGGCGAAAGCCUGACGGAGCAACGCCGCGUGAGUGAUGAAGGUCUUCGGAUCGUAAAACGCUGUUAGUAGGGAAGAACAAAUGUGUAAGUAACUGUGCACAUCUUGACGGUACCUAAUCAGAAAGCCACGGCUAACUACGUG